CCGCAACACGGCAGGUGGCUGCAUGGCGGUGUCGGACGACCUGCUGACCGCGCACUACACAGAGGACUACCAGGAGCAGCAGCUGCCCGACAACCCCGAGCGACUACAGUAAAUGGUGAUGAUGGUGCAGCUCCUGUGUGGACAUGCUCUGUUACAACAACACAACACCGAGCCAGAAGACGAAGCCGUAACAUAAGCAGCAGUUGCUGUUGAAUGACCGUGCUGACCUCCAAGCUGAGCUAUGGCAAGGCAGUGAACACAUCAGUGGUUUUGGACCAACCAGCUCUCCAGCUGCAUCACUGAAUCGGUGGAACUGCACAAACUACAAGUCUGCUGUGCCUCAUGCAUACUCCCGGCCGACCACAGUGCAAGAUUUAACUACUUAUAACAAGGGACAACAUGGC